GCCUGAGGGCUUGUGUAUGAAUGUAGAUGCUUUUUAAAAAUUUACAUGAGCUAAAUUGUUAGUGAUGUUGAUAUGACUCCUGCAAUGGGCUGCAUGCUUAUAUCGUUGAUUAUUCUUCGUAUUCUUCUAAGUAUUUACUUAAACCGUGAUAUGUGGAGAUUUGAAUGUGUCCAUAAAUUGAUGGUGUGGUCUGCAAAACUAUGGAUAGUUACGAUAAAAAUCUCAUAUGUUAUUUUACAUGAUUAUCCUUAUACAUGUUUACGAAGCCUUAACUAUAUACAUGUUUAUAAUUAGCUUACCAUGCUGGCUAUAUAUAUCUCGUAAAUAGAAAAGGAGAUUUAGCUUACCAUUUAUAGCUUCCUAAGAUCACUCCAGUACACGAUUGAAAACUCAGUAAUUACCUGUGCUAUAUGUCUCUACGUGUUUUGUUAAUUGAUUGUUGAUGUUUUCAUUAGCUUGUUCUGCAAAUUUGGGUUGAAAGUUUUUGGUGCGCCUCUUUAUUGAUUGCUUUUGGAAUCCAUGGAUGGAUAGUUGUGAGAAAAAGUUUCAAUUUGAUAAUUGUGGUCGAUUAGUCCCACGUGUAAAAUCAAGCAAGGCUAUAAAGUACCUACAUAUAGCCUUUUUCCUUGAUGUGAUAGUUGUAAGUAACUUAAAUUAUUUGAUCGACAUGUUCUUGGAUACUCAUGGAGCAUUGUUUAUGCCUGAGGGCUUGUCUAUAAAUGUAGAUGCUUUUUAAAAAUUUACAUGAGCUAAACUGUUAGUGAUGUUGAUAUGACUCCUGCAAUGGGCUGCAUGCCUAUAUCGUUGAUUAUUCUUCGUAUUCUUCUAAGUAUUUACCUAAACCGUGAUAUGUGGAGAUUUGAAUGUGUCCAUAAAUUGAUGGUGUGGUCUGCAAAAUUAUGGAUAGUUACGAUAAAAAUCUUAUAUGUUAUUUUACAUGAUGAUCUUUAUACAUGUUUAUGAUGCCUUAACUAUAUACAUGUUUAUAAUUAGCUUAUAUGUUAUUUUACAUGAUGAUCCUUAUACAUGUUUAUGAUGCCUUAACUAUAUACAUGUGUAUAAUUAGCUUACCAAACUGGCUAUAUAUACUCUCUUAAUCAGAAAAGGAGAUUUAGCUUCCCAUGUAUAGCUUCCUAAGAUCACUCUAGUUCAUCAUUGAAAACUCAGUAAUUACCUGUGCUAUAUAUCUCUACGUGUUUUGUUAAUUGAUUGUUGAUGUUUUCAUUAGCUUGUUCUGCAAAUUUGGGUUGAACGUUUUUGGUGCGACUCUUUAUUGAUUGCUUUUGGAAUCCAUGGAUGGAUAGUUGUGAGAAAAAGUUUCAAUUUGAUAAUUGUGGUCGAUUAGUCCCACGUGUAAAAUCAAGCAAGGCUAUAAAGUACCUACAUAUAGACUUUUUCCUUGAUGUGAUGGUUGUAAGUAACUUAAAUUAUUUGGGUAUUUUAUUUCCUACUUUGGUAUGACCUAGUGUAGGAUUUGGGGACCUGAAUAGGCACCCAUUUUUCGAGUCGUAAUGCUAGAUGCUUGUCGAGUGAAAUUUGAUUUUUUGCAUGUUUCCUUACUCUUGUGGAUAUGUCGACUUCUACUUUCCUUGUAGAUUCAAGAAAGCUUCUUGUGGAUUUCUAGGUUUCUUUUCUUCACUAAUUGUUGGGUGAUUUUUUGUUUUUGUUUUCCUUAAAUCCUUUGGUAAGCUUGCGUUGCAGUCUUUUGUUUUGAUAUGCGUGAUUUUAAUCAGCAUUUCAAUUUUGUCUGUUGUUUCAUCUGUUCAGAAUGUCGGCACAAUUAUUUUUAUCAAUAGUGAUGCACAUCGUUGACGUGUUUUCUCUUUAUGCCUAUUUUUUGUGUUUACACAUGCUCCUGCCCGUUAUAUUUUCCUAGAUCUUUUUCGUGCUUUCCUAGGAUGCCAAUAAGGCUGUUAUAUGUUUUGCUGGCAAUGAUAGUUUGUUUUUAAACCUUGGAUGUGUCUUUAUACUGUGACUGUGGGAUGCUCUUAUUAGCGUUUCUAUAAAUUUUGCGGUAUCUUGACAAGAUGUUUAUCACGAAGAUGAUAAUUGUGACGAUGAUGGACGUCAUGAAGCAAAUCUAGAGGGAAAUAUGUUACUGUGAAAAUGAAGGUAUGAAGCAAAUCUAGAGGGAAAUGUGUUUAUUUUUUUGCAGAAAGGAGGAGAUAGAAAUAAGAAAGGAUAUUAUAUAACAUGAUGCCUUAAUUGCUCUCUUACCAACUCAAUCACAACUUAUUGAUCAAUUUUUUUGGAUAUCAUCAACCAUUUGUAACCAAAAAGGAAAUGGACAUCAUUUAACAAGGAAAAAAAUAUAUAAGAAAUUUUAUUGUAAUGCAAAAUUUUCUUUGUUUAACUUCUAGGUUGCUAAACUCUGCUAGUUGCUUUUGACUAUAGUUGGUUGAUGGUAGUAACAGGCUCAUGCUUUUUUGGUAAAAUAAAAUAUGGUUUUAGUUAUACCAUUACUUUAUGGAUUUUGGUUAUCCACUAUGGCUAAUAAUCUUUUAUUAUAUCUGCAGUUUAAGAGCAUUUUUGAAUUUUUUUUUUGUUGCUCAACUUUGUGGUUUCGUUUAAUCUAUUUUUUUUUUUCCUGGUGGUGUUCUACUUUCAGGAAUAUCAUGUAUCGGGUAUUCCAUUGGUAAUAUUGUUUUUGUUUGCUUGCCAUGUUCCAAGUUUGAGGGUUCACUUGGAUUGGGGUAAUGGCAGUUGGGUUUGUUCGAAGAAGAGGGUUUGCUAAUUAUAUAAGUGUUCUUUUCUCGACAAGGAAACAUUAUCAUUAAUAUCUUAUGUUUUGUAGGUUAACUUGUUAAAUUGCUGCAUUCAUUAGCGAAAAGAGGGAGGGGCAUGGCUAUUAUGCGCUUGAAAAACGUAUUUUACGGGAUUGGUAAGAGAGUGUUGUUUGGUCUAUACGGAUUUUCUUAUCCAAAACUUGGAUAGCGCAACCUCAUACACCCAGCCCAUUUCAGUUCGAAAGUUAAUUAUGUUGAUAAGUUUGUUUUUCAUUGUGAUUUAUUAUUUAUAUUUAAUCUUAUUCAUUUGUUUUUUUGUCUACUAUGUAAUAUAUUGAUAUCAAAAUUAUGUUAUGGGCUUACAGUUUGUUUCUUUAGUAGCCAUUCGUUUUGUAUUGAGUGAUCUCUUCCACAACCUAUGCAAUGAUGAUGGGCAUCAACUACUCGAUGAAGGUGCAGGGGAUCAAGUUUUAUUUGCUUUCAUUGAGAUUGUGUUGAUAAUUCCGACAAUCGCAUCUCGUGUCUUUCUUUCAUAAACGGUUUUGGCAACUUGCAGUAUAAUGGAGUGUGAAAAGCAGCCAAUAUCUAUGUUGAAAUCCUAGAAGAUGAUGUUUUGGUCUUGCCUCUACAUGUACUUGGUAUAAGUAGAGUGUGAAAGAGUUGCAUAAAAUGCUUCAUAGGUGCAAUGAGCAACUUCAGCCAUGUAAACAAGAAGGCACUAGACCAACAUGUAAAUAUCACUGAGAAACAGGAGAAACUCCAGAAAAGUCAAGUUGAACUAUGGUGCUGGAUUUUAUUGCUUAAAUAUCUUAUGUUGUACUUAUUGUUUUUAACAUGAUAUUAAGAUUUAUGUAUCUUGACUUCAAUGAGAUUAUGUUUUAUUACUUCAAUGCUUGUGUGCAGAAAAUCAUAGAACUGAUAUUUGUUUUAGAUCAGCGAGACAAUGAAUAUUGCACUGUCAAAGGAGUUGUUGAGCACUUUAGCGAAGUAUUCUUUGAACUCGUGCAAGGUGGUCGUGGUCAUUUGGCUAUGAUGAAGAAAAAGAUGUUGAUCACGAAUAUGAUAAUUGUGACGAUGAUGGAUGUCAUGAAGCAAAUUUGGAGGGAAAUAUGUUACUGUGAAAAUGAAGGAGUUCACAUCUUUACAUGCAAAAGUCACUGCACUAGAGCAUGAUCUUCAUAAAUCUUGUCAAGAGGCCUCUAAUAAUCAUGAUCUCUGUUGCCAGUUAGAAAAGGAAUAUCAUGUAUCGGGUAUCAUAUUGGUAAUAUUGUUUUGAUUUGCUUACCAUGUUCCAAGUUUAAGGGUUCACUUAGAUUGGGGGUAAUGGCAAUUGGGUUUCUUCAAAGAAGAGGGUUUCCUGAUUAUCUUAUGUGUUCUUUUCUCGACAAGGAAACAUUAUCAUUAAUAUCUUAUGUUUUGUAGGUUAACUUGUUGAAUUGCUGCAUUCAUUAGGGAAAAGAGGGAGGGGCUUGGCUAUUAUGUGCUUGAAAAGCGUAUUUUACGGGACUGGUAAGAGUGUGUUUGGUCUGUAAGGAUUUCCUUAUCCAAAACUUGGAUAGCGCAACCCCAUACACCUAGCCCAUUUCAGUUCGAAAGUUAAUUGUGUUUGUAAGUUAGUUUUUCAUUGUGAUUAUUUUUUUAUAUAUGUUAUCUUAUUUAUUUGUUGUGUGUCUACUAUAUAAUAUAUUGAGUGAUGAGUGUUUUAAAUUUAUGGACUGAAGGAUUAUUCCUUUUUUAUGUGUUAA